UUUCUCGUUUCGUCAGAUUCAAACGUUUUCACUUCGCCAAGCCAUUUUUCUUUGUGUUUGCUUUUUACUAUGUAACUUUAGACAUAAAAAAAGAGACCUUGCGGUCUCAAUGCGGCUCAUCGCAUCCUGGGGCUGUAGUCGGUCCCAAGGGUUGGGCUGUUCGCCCAUUAAAGCGGUACGCGAGCUGGGUUCAGAACGUCGUGAGACAGUUCGGUCCCUAUCCGUCGUGGGCGUAGGAA
rnacentral:rRNA from 1 species